rnacentral:lncRNA from 1 species
UAAAAUUUUAUAAUGCUUAAAUCAUUUAAUUAUUUUUAUAAGACCAUAAACUUUAUACAUUAUAAAGAGAUCAAGUCAUUUACUAUUAUUUAGAUGCAAAUAGAAAGAAAAAAAAUAUGGUUGAAACUUUAAAGUUGGUUUAUGUUCUGAAUCUAUUUUAUUCCAUAUUUCUUGGCAUAAUAGUAUGUAAUACUUCUCUAAUUAAAUAUUUUGACGUUCCUUGGGAAAAAGAUAAAGAUUGUCCAAAACCUCUGAGGUUUAAUAUUAGGUGUCGUAAAGGCUUCUGUGUACGGAUCUGAAACAUACUAAUGAUAUAAAUGAGUUCUUGCUCUAGCAAGAUAAUUGUAUGAUAUAUCUUAUGUUAAAAUAUUUCAUUUGUUAACAUUUAGAUUUUAUGCAUGCACUAAAUAUUUAUUCCUCCUCCUGCUCCUCAAUACUAAUUUCACAUAAUCCUCAUCUUGAAACCAUUAAUUCGAACCAAGUCUUAUCAAAUCCAUUGUUAAUUAUGUUUCACGCCUCACUGAGAUGAGACAAUAUGAAAAUAAUAUCAUGAAUCAACAAUAAGCAGUAUCAAAAAGAAAUUAAACAAAAAAAACAACAUUUUUUUAAUGUAAAAUACGUAUAUUAUAAAUAAAAUGGUGAAAUCUCAUGCAAGAGUACAACCACAUAGUUAAGUCAAAAAAAAAAAAAAAGAGUACAACCACAUAGAAAUUAGAGUACAAGAAGUACUAAAGUCAAGUAAUAAUAAAAAACAUAGAAUCCCACACAGAAAAACAAAAGUAAGAACUAAAACACCAACGGAAAACCAACUAAACUCCUAUCAAGAACCCUCAACCACAGGCUAAAGUUUAGAGUUCGACUCGACUUUUAGUUCGUCGAACUUGGUUCAUGAACCAAAUGAGUUGAGUUUGAGCUGAAAAUUAAAUUCGUUAAAUAAAUGGCUGAGCUUCAACUAUAUAUAGUUUAACUCAUUUGAAAGUUCAACUCACUUAGUUCAUGAACCGACUUGAUUACAAAUAUAUAUUUGCAACAUGUGGCAAAUUUCAAGGGGCAACAUAGAGAGUUAGCACAAAACAAGUCCCACAUGGAAGGUCUUGUAAGCUUACAAAGGUCAACGUAAAAUAAGCGCUUGUGUUGCAUCCUUCUACGAUGUUUUUUCACUGUCAUUAAAGUGACAUACACAUUCCAUUUUUCACUUGAACAAAGUAGUUUAAUUUUUUUUAAGUUACCACUAUUACGUGAGCACUCGGUUUCUUGAACCAAUUUGUGGUUUGGAAGUGGUUUUAGGGAAUUCUAUAGAUUUGUAUGUAUAUUUAAUAUUUUCCUUUUAAAAAAUAAUUAAAUUAAAUGGUGAAAAGAUCUAAACAAUUAUCUCUUUUUUUAGGGGUGAAGAUCCUCUCAAUUUGGCAAAAUAU